rnacentral:rRNA from 1 species
AACGAACGCUGGCGGCAUGCCUAACACAUGCAAGUCGAACGAGACCUUCGGGUCUAGUGGCGCACGGGUGCGUAACGCGUGGGAACCUGCCCUUAGGUUCGGAAUAACUCCCCGAAAGGGGUGCUAAUACCGGAGAAUGUCUUCGGACCAAAGAUUUAUCGCCUUUGGAUGGGCCCGCGUUGGAUUAGCUAGUUGGUAGGGUAAAAGCCUACCAAGGCGACGAUCCAUAGCUGGUCUGAGAGGAUGAUCAGCCACACUGGGACUGAGACACGGCCCAGACUCCUACGGGAGGCAGCGGUGGGGAAUAUUGGACAAUGGGCGAAAGCCUGAUCCAGCAAUGCCGCGUGAGUGAUGAAGGCCUUAGGGUUGUAAAGCUCUUUUACCCGGGAUGAUAAUGACAGUACCGGGAGAAUAAGCUCCGGCUAACUCCGUG